UACGUAGGGGGCUAGCGUUGUCCGGAAUCAUUGGGCGUAAAGCGCGCGUAGGCGGCCCGGUAAGUCCGCUGUAAAAGUCAAAGGCUCAACCUUUGAAUGUCAGUGGAUACUGCCGGGCUAGAGUCCGGAAGAGGCGAGUGGAACUCCUGGUGUAGCGGUGGAAUGCGCAGAUAUCAGGAGGAACACCGAUGGCGAAGGCAGGUCUCUGGGCCACUACUGACGCUGAGAAGCGAGAGCAUGGGGAGCGAACAGG
rnacentral:rRNA from 1 species